UGUCUCACUGCGCAGCCGACGUGGCCAGGCGCCUGUACAUCCCCUGGGUGAAGUUUCCCAGCUUCGGCAAGAAGUUGCGCAGGUAGAUCUCGUUUUCGUUGCUCAGGGAGCAGUUCUGGAGAAGGAAAAGCAUAAAUACAUUAGAGCUGACAGUGAGAUGUAGCAGCUCAGGCAGUGGGUAGCCAGGCCACCAGCCCACACAAGAUGCUUUGUUUCAAUUGCUUCUGUCUCCAUAUAAAUAAUUCAGCAAAUAAUUCAGAGUUGUGAGGAUGAUGCCCCAGGAUGUUGGGAACUCAUCCCUUGCCUCAGGACAAGCACCCAGCCCCCGUGCCUGGCAGUGUGACCCCCGUGGCCAUGGGUCUGGGGUGGCUGGGGCUGGCGGGGACAUUCACCCUCUUCCCGUGGAGGUGAAUUAUCUCACAGAGCCGCGCAGGUUUGCGAUGCCCCGGUCUGGCCCCAUGCAAGGUAAAUACCGGCCUGCUCAGCCCUGUGGGUGCGUGGGGGAGCCGGCACGGAUACGGGCCCCGUGCUCGGCAGAGCUGGCACCGGGGGCAAGGCUGCGCCGGGGGGCUGGAGCCGCACAGUGGGGCGGCGAGCGGGGAGGCUGCGGCUCCUGCUUACCGUCUUGCCGUGCAAGCUCUGCAAGUUGAUGAUGAAGGGCUCGUAGUCCUUCCUGCACCUGGUGACUUUCAUGAGUGCCAUGGCAGCCUGGCACAGCAGCUCCUGCUCUGACAGCUGGAAACCACAGGGAAGAAAUCAUUAGAGCCCUGUGUUUGAUGUAAGUUGAUGCUACUUAUCGAGGUGUCCAGGACUGGUGGGAGGUUUCACAGAGACUUUCUAAACUGUUUUCGUUUUAUGGCUGUAAUCACAGCCCCGUGUGGUGACUUGGGCCCUGGGCUGGGGGCAGGGGAGCUGGGGGCAGAGGUGGUGGCUGGGGGCAGGUCCUUGGGCACAGCCGGCAUCCAUCUGUGCACUUGCCCCCAGCGAUGGUGCUUGAGCGGCUCUAGCCCGGUGACUAAUAAAACUACCUCUGCUACGUGGGCUGUGCACUGCAGUGAGGAAGGUGCUGGUGAUGUUGGUGUGUAUUAAAAAUGUGUUUUCUGCCUGUGUCUCUAUCAUCUUUUACCUUUCGAUCCGUGAAGGCAACCUGUGCCACUCGGGUGUCAUUGCAAGGGACCUGGAGAGGUGACACAAGGGAGAGCCAUUGUUACGAGAGACCAUCAUUACAAGGUAAGACCUUCCCCAGGAGCUGCCAGCUGCACCCUCCCCUGGGAAGAGGCACCAUAUCCCAGUCCCUCCGGCAGGACACAGUGCGGAUGCACCCUGGGUGCUGCACCACCGAGACCCAUCUUUCAGCAAAUUGUUCCAUAACAGGCUCCUGGGAAGUCGGGCCCUGGGGUUGCACAGCAUUUGCAAGCAGUUGUUUGGGAAGGGGCAGGAGGGUCCCUGGGUGCUCUGUGGGUGCUAUGGACCAGAGCAGAGCAGAACCCCCCUGCAGCUCGCACUGUGCCAGGCCACUGUGUCCCCUUCACCAAGCUGCCCCAGUCACCCUGACACAGCUCUGUGUGUGGCACAGGGAGGUUUGGGGGAGGUUCUCUUGUUCCUCGGCAUUUUUUCCUGCAAUGUGCCUAAUGUCAGGUGCAAGACUUCACCCUGGCUGCCACCAGCAUCCUCCUGUACCACCAGGUCAAAUCCUGAGCACCCAAAGUCUAGGCUGAGAUGGGCCAGGGUGCCCAAAGCUGGAGGUGGGAUGCAGCGGGCUGAACCAGUCAGGAAUGCCUGAUGGCAGUGCCGGUGCCUGGCCUUCAGCACCAAGGAAUAUCAUCAUCAUCAUCAAUAACGUUCCUCUGUCUGUAAGCAAAGAAACACCAGGAGGUGUAACAGCAUUUACCUGUACUCCUGAGUUGAGCUGUUGGAUGCGGUGGGUGAUCUCUGACAGCUUUACUUUGGGAAAGGUGGUCAUCAGUGGGGUGGACGAGAUGAGCUCGAGCAGGGAGAGGAGCAUGAAUGCAGCCUUCAGCAAGGGGAGCAUCCUGUCACCGCUGCUGGGUGCUUCCCGUGCUGGCUGGGCUGGCUGGCCGGGGCCUCUCUGCCUCGCUGCUUGGCAAAGCACCAUUUUUAUAGUGCGAAGAGGGACCGGCGUCUCCAUUGAGUACCAAAUAUAGGUGUCUUCCUGUGCUGAUGAGGCGCAACGGCCCAAAGAAGGCAUUAUGUAAUGACAGCGCAGACUUUUCGCCCUUAACCAAUGUUAUCUGUUAUUCAGCUACCAUGCAGAUUUUAAUCACCUAAUUGAUAGAUGAAGAGAUACUGGGACAAGUUGAGAAUUUCUCUUUGACGUUUGAGUAUCUGUUUACUAUUGAGUGUGUUUGCAACAUGCUGCAUGUGGAAAAUGAUGAAUGUGUGCACGACUUAACCAAGCGCGUUGCAAGACCCGUGUAAAGUCAAGCCAUCUUCUAAUGUGCAGAGAAAUAUCUGUGAAGUUUUGCUUGUCUCCACAACGGAAAAGACAAACAGCUACACAGAAGGACCAGCUCUGGGAUGUGUGUGCCUGGAAGCCUGCCGGGCUCCUGCCUUGGAUAUCGAUGUCUCACGGGAGGACAACAUGACCCCAUCAAGUAUCUGGUUGAAUUUGGAGGUGUCUCCCCACCACAGCUUUGCUGUCCACGUGCUGCUGCAAGCACAGGUGGAGCGGCUCGAUGCCGGCGGCACCGGUGGCUCUGCUCACACUGGCACCCCGCACUGCUGCGGCCCCGGCUCGGGCAAACCCCCUCCGGGGAGACCCAGCCUUCGCCUUAUACCUGCUUUCAGUGAAGUCAAGGUGUUGCAUAGCUCGAGGAAAUGCUGAACUUUACCUUUCAAACAAACUGCUUCCAGUUCCACCGCAUCCUUUUUGUGUUGGAAGAGUUAACGUCGCAACGCAAAGCCCAGGUUGGUUGCCCCAAAUCAUCACACAUAGACGAAGAGCAGUGGGCUGGGCUGGAGCUGUGGGCACCGUGGCACGGAGGGCAUUGGUGGACAUGGAUGGAAUCAGUGGGAAUCAACAGAAAGAAACAGUGUAUGCAAAAGCUUUUUGCCUAAAAUGUAGCCUGCACCAAUAGAAACUUCAUGGAGAAGUUGCUCCUGGGAGUAGCAAGAUACAUGUUCUUGCAUCUGAGCGAGAGCCUGCCUGUGGCUGUGCCCUCCUUGUGGCAGUGUGUGCGUGUAUCUCGGCACGGAGGCCAGUGCUGCAGAGCCGCUCUCCUGCGCUGGCGUUUGGCUGCUGGAGACCCACCGCAGCGGUAAGUGACACGGCACGUGGGCAGCCAGGCGUUGCUCCUGCCCAGUGAGUUACUGCGACAAAUCUGUGCCUCGCUUGCCUCAAAACGCCUCAGCUUGGUUCCGCACUACUGCUGGCGUUGAACAUCUUGGAUGGGCAACAACCCCUUCCCCGCCACCACCCUCGCCUCCAGCCCACCACCCAGGCUGGAGAGGAGGCAGAGCCUGACCCGGGACGCCAGCGGCUGCCGUGCAGGCUCCAUGGUGGUGGCCACCGUCACUGGUACGGCACAGGAAGCCACAGCGGAGCAGGGAUCCCCCUGACGUGGCACUGGGGGCGGCUGACGGCACCCAUGGCAGCAGCCCUGCUUCCUGUGGGUGCAGCAGGGGAGGCAGCGGCAAAGCCCGCGCCGCAGCCAGUCGCAAGGGGGGCCCGUUUCUGUCCUCACUAUCCCAAGGUGCCCAUGAGCAGAAGAUUGUGAAAGUAUGUGAAGUUUCUCCUAUGCUUGAUUCAGACAAGCACGGUUUUUUUGUUUCCCAGUCCAUAUCAAAAGCAUGGGGCUGGUUGAGUCUCUUUUCCACGCUGUUAACUGUAGAGAGCCUAUGGUCUAUUCAAAUUAAAAAUGUGGAACACAAUCAUUAUGUGGAUCAUUUCUUGUCAUUUUAACACUAACACUUGAUGUAGGAGAUGUUAGUUUCCCACCACAUUUUCAGUCUUUUUUUUUCCAGGUUCUGGCAAAAGCUUAAUCCCCAAAGCCUGUGCGUGUGUGAGGAUAAACUUUGCAGCUGGGGAACGGAGGAGGGCCAAUUUAAGUAAAAAUGUGCCCGUUUUUAUAAAUACCUUAUAAAGGAAUUGCAAGCCACAGCUUUAACUUGGGGGAGAAAAAAGUAUAGAAUUCACAAAGGCUGGGGAGUUGCUUCUGAAGAUAACUUAAUUCUUCAUGAGCUGGGAUGUAUGUGUCAUGCUAAAACAAACAGGUAGUACAGGAAAAUUUGUAAAUUCAAAGUAUUUUUUUUUCUUUCUUCUGUUGAUUAUAUCUUUAAGAAAAUUCCCCUUCAGGAAGUAGUACUAGAGUCAGUGAAGCUUUUUAUUUAAAACUGCAAACGUAAUGCAUGUUAGUAGCAUUUUCCUUUGCCUUCUCAUCCCCAGUUUAAUUCCUUUUACAGGGGAUUGGUGAGAGAGUGUAAUUGCUAGGAAGUCCUAUUCAUUUGCUUAUCUUUGAGUGGUUGCCUAAUGACUGGGGCCACCCUGACUCUAGUGACUUGCAGUUUCAGAAAAUUCAGGUGGAAAUAAUUCUUAGUUCAAGUGCUCGGUUUCUGGCACUUACCCCUUUAAGACUCCUCAUUGCCAAGUCUACUUCGCUCUGGCUGAGGAACAUCAGCUGUUGAAUGAAGAAUCAGACCCGGGGUUCUGCUGGGUUUUGCUCUUUUUGGUGCAGGUGUCCAGAGCCCUUAGCAGGUGGCAGCAGUGGUAUGAGUGAGGGGUGCGGAGAGCCGGGCCGGGGCCGCAGCACAGCCGUGGGCAGGCAGGGCAGGCAGCGCGGGCAGCGCCCUCCCCGUGGGCAGAGGCCUCUGUCCGUGGUGCUUAACCAGCCCCGGGCCCUGCCGGCGCCCGCCAGCUCUGCCCGCACUCCUACCCCCUCCUCGCCUGCUUUCGGAGACUUUAUCCUUGUGAAAGAAAGGGAUUCCUGCAUUCUGAAGGAGAAGGCAGUGUGCAAUGUUCUCAGCCUUAUUUGUGUUAUUUGCCAAAAAACAAAUGUCCUGAUGUUACAGAGAUUAACUUUUUUUUCAUGGUGGUUUAAAUAUUCUUCCUCUGAAACUGAGCUUUGGUCAACGCUGUCUGCUAAGGAGGUUCAGCUGCUCACUACUGUCUGCAAGGGCUUGAAGAGCUGUAAGUCUGGCUGCUGCUUGUGGACUUGUACCUGGUACCCAGAGUUCAAGGUAAAAGAGGUGGGCCCUUACUUGGUUAUAAAGAUAUAGACCCGAAGUCGCAUCCCUUGGCUUGCAUGGCUUGAGGUGGUGAGGCACGCUGCUGAGGAACCCUGGUCUGAAACCUCAGGACUUGUGAUGAUCAUUCGUCACAAGUGAUGCAUGUGUGGUGCUUUGCAUUUUGAAGCGUGCCAUCCCUGUCAGCUUUCUGUUGUCAUUCUGAGCCGUUCCCUUUGGCCUGUGUUCUGCUGGGCUGGCGGGUAUUGCUGUACCAAGGAAAAGAGCUUCAGGAAGAACACCAAGUGGUGCAGGUGAGGCUCAGCAUCCACACACAUGACCUCUCUAAGCCAUUUUUGUGGCAUUUUCACAGAACUUGAUUGUAUCUCACAGGGAAUCAAUAUAUGAUGUAACUCUUAUAAAAGUCAUCAUCUUGAAGCAGCAGAGAAGAAAUGACAGUAAGCAAAAUGACACUAAGCAAAGACAAUGUGGUAAAAUAUGCUUCUGUCAUCCAUUCACCCAUUCAUCUAGCUAGAGAUGGGAUUUUCCUUUAUUCUAGACAGCUGUUAUAUUUUGUGAAGAUUCUGUCUUUGAACAGCCAGAGUAAUGUUCCCUUGAAGAGAAAACAGUAAAAAUUCUCUUUGAAGCUUGUGAAUUGUGUGUAGAC